rnacentral:rRNA from 1 species
AUGGCAGCAAGUUCCAGCUCACAAGGACGGCGGGGUAAGGAGACUGCGGAUGAGUUGUUGGCUCGGCUGAACUUACAGGAGGAGGAGGAUGAUGACUUCAUUUGGGAAGAAGAAUUGCCGGACUUGGGGGUGCCGGCGAAGUGGCUCGCUAUAGCCCGGGUGCAUACACCAAAAUCUUUUAGCCCUAAUAAUGCUCUGUACGGGGACAUGCGAGCGACAUGGAACCCCACGAGGACUGUGGUGUGGAGGAAGAUCAAAGAUAGUCUGUUCACAGCCCAGUUUGGUUGUCUCGGUGAUUGGAACAAAGCAAUGUUGGAGGGACCCUGGCUGUUCAGAGAUCAUGCGGUAAUCAUGAAGGAGUAUGAUGGAUUCAAGAAGCCCGAGAGUGUUGUCCUGGACAAGCUGUCGGUCUGGGCUCAAAUACAUGUUCUCCUGGAUAAUUUCCUUAUAGAACGGGCAGUCAGGGGAUUGGCGUCUCGCAUCGGGGAAGUGGAGGAGGUCCAGUUGAAACUCCCGGCAGGUUUCUGUGGGGAGUUCGUCCGGGUCAGAGUGAAAAUUGAUAUAAAUGCCAAGAUAAAAUGUUUUGUUACGGGGACGAAAGGAGAAGAAAGGGUGAGAUACGAAGUGAAGUGUGAGAAACUCCCAAUCUUUUGUUAUAACUGCGGUGAAUUUGGCCACUGGCAUGAGGAGUGCGGAGAUGGAGUUCAUGAUGAGUCCACUUUUGAAUGGGGGGAGUUUGUUUUAGCUAACAAUGUGAGCUUCAGGCCUGUUGGCCGAGGGAAUUUUGGCACCCAGCAAGGCAGAGGAGGCCCCGGGAGGUCAGGGGGGUGA